rnacentral:rRNA from 1 species
AACGAACGCUGGCGGCAUGCCUAACACAUGCAAGUCGAACGAGACCUUCGGGUCUAGUGGCGCACGGGUGCGUAACGCGUGGGAACCUGCCCUUAGGUUCGGAAUAACUCCCCGAAAGGGGUGCUAAUACCGGAUAAUGUCUUCGGACCAAAGAUUUAUCGCCUUUGGAUGGGCCCGCGUUGGAUUAGCUAGUUGGUAGGGUAAAAGCCUACCAAGGCGAAGAUCCAUAGCUGGUCUGAGAGGAUGAUCAGCCACACUGGGACUGAGACCAGGCCCAGACUCCUACGGGAGGCAGCAGUGGGGAAUAUUGGACAAUGGGCGAAAGCCUGAGCCAGCAAUGCCGCGUGAGUGAUGAAGGCCUUAGGGUUGUAAAGCUCUUUUACCCGGGAUGAUAAUGACAGUACCGGGAGAAUAAGCUCCGGCAAACUCCGU